AUACGGAGGAUCCGAGCGUUAUCCGGAUUUAUUGGGUUUAAAGGGUGCGCAGGCGGCCAUUUAAGUCAGCGGUUAAAUCGUGGGGCUCAACCCCAUUCUGCCGUUGAUACUGGGUGGCUUGAUUGCGGUCGAGGUUGGCGGAAUUCGUUGUGUAGCGGGGAAAUGCAUAGAUAUGACGAAGAACACCGAUUGCGUAGGCAGCUGACCAGACCGCAAAUGACGCUCAUGCACGAAAGUGCGGGGAUCGAACAGGAUUAGAUACCCUGGUAGUCCGCACAGUAAACGAUGAAUACUUGUUUUCGGCGAUAUAAUGUCGGAGGCAAAGCGAAAGCGAUAAGUAUUCCACCUGGGGAGUACGCCGGCGACGGUGAAACUCAAAUGAAUCGACGGGG
rnacentral:rRNA from 1 species